GUUUUCUUUAAAGGUUAUAGAAAAGACAGAAAGGUUGUAAGAUUAGCCUACCUGAGGAACCUACCGCUUGGAGAGCAACCUGUUUCUCUUCCAAGGAGGGGUAAAUAGAAAUGAGCCAGCUCACAGCACUAGUUCUUCUCACAGUCUUCUUGACACUCUUCAGUCAAGCUGAAGCAAACCCUUUUGUUUACAGUAA